rnacentral:rRNA from 1 species
AACGAACGCUGGCGGCAGGCCUGACACAUGCAAGUCGAACGCUGUAGCAAUACAGAGUGGCAGACGGGUGAGUAACACGUGGGAAUCUUCCUAUCGGUACGGAAUAGCUCAGGGAAACUUGAGGUAAUACCGCAUACGCCCUUCGGGGGAAAGAUUUAUCGCCGAUAGAUGAACCCGCGUCUGAUUAGCUAGUUGGUGAGGUAAUGGCUCACCAAGGCGACGAUCAGUAGCUGGGCUGAGAGGAUGACCAGCCACACUGGGACUGAGACACGGCCCAGACUCCUACGGGAGGCAGCAGUGGGGAAUAUUGGACAAUGGGCGCAAGCCUGAUCCAGCCAUGCCGCGUGAGUGACGAAGGUCUUCGGAUUGUAAAGCUCUUUUGCCAGGGACGAUAAUGACGGUACCUGGAGAAUAAGCCCCGGCUAACUUCGUGCCAGCCGCCGCGGUAA